rnacentral:rRNA from 1 species
GUAUCAUGGCUCAGGAUGAACGCUGGCGGCGUGCUUAACACAUGCAAGUCGACGAAGCACUUUAUUAUGAUUUCUUCGGAAUGACGAUUUAGUGACUGAGUGGCGGACGGGUGAGUAACGCGUGGGUAACCUGCCUUAUACAGGGGGAUAACAGUUAGAAAUGACUGCUAAUACCGCAUAAGCGCACAGGAUUGCAUGAUCUAGUGUGAAAAACUCCGGUGGUAUAAGAUGGACCCGCGUCUGAUUAGCUGGUUGGUGAGGUAACGGCCCACCAAGGCGACGAUCAGUAGCCGACCUGAGAGGGUGACCGGCCACAUUGGGACUGAGACACGGCCCAAACUCCUACGGGAGGCAGCAGUGGGGAAUAUUGCACAAUGGGGGAAACCCUGAUGCAGCGACGCCGCGUGAGCGAAGAAGUAUUUCGGUAUGUAAAGCUCUAUCAGCAGGGAAGAAAAAAUGACGGUACCUGACUAAGAAGCCCCGGCUAACUACGUG